rnacentral:lncRNA from 1 species
AGGUUUCAGGGGAUGGCUAUGGGACUCCAUGCUCAGGAAGCAGUUUCAGAGACCAAAAUCAAAUGAUUCAUCAGGUGAUAACGUACUCUGCUUUGUGGUGUUCGUUAUUUUUCCCGAAUAACUGUUGGUCUAACUCUAACUCUCUUUCAGGUAUGUGAUUUUGGUACAGAAGAUUUGCUAAAGUUAGAGAUACAGCAGCAUGAGGCUCUUUCAGUUGUAUCUUCUUUUUAAUCAAAGCUUUUACUAUAUGGAGGAAGAUCGAUGAAGCAUGGAUUAGAAUAAUCAUUUAUAGUCAGUGUAUCAGUGUUUGGCUUUG